AGAGAGAGAGAGAGAGAGAGAGAGAGAAGUGAGCUAAACUCGAGAGGAAGAAGGAAAGAGAGAGAGAGAGCAGCGACAGAGAGGGAGAGCUAUCGAGAUAGGAAGUCAUCUCACAAGGAAGAGUUCAAUCUUGCAUUAUUGUUGGUUAUAAUUGACAAAGUUCGGGAGUUGAGGAGAUUGAGACUAUACACUUGGUGGAAAGCUCGACUCGUUGAGUUAUCAUUUUGGGAGUCUUUGUGAGAAUUUUGUUCCACCAUAGAAUGAGGCUAAAUCUUAAAUUAAUAAUAUUAAUGCUUGUUUGAAUGUGAUAAGUUGAAUGGGUAUAAGGAUCUUGAUGAUUUAUUUUUCAAGAAGAAACUAUAUGAGUUCGGUUAAUUGCGGUGUAGUGAUACUGUUGUGAUCAUAUAAAACGAACGAUCAGGCCGCUGAUCUGGCAGAAUAUAAAAUGGACGAUUAGGCCACUGAACUGGCGGAAUAUAAAACAGACGAUUAGGCUCCUGAUUCAGCAGAUAUAAAAUGGAUGUUAGGCUCCUAUUGCCGGAGAAAAAUAGGUAACCAUCGCUUAUAAGAUUUGAAAUGAGGGGAUUGUGGAUGAUACAUGCGAGGUCACAGUUCCGUCAAAACUCUAUCAGGAGGGAAUGUGAUCCUAUGGCUAGUAUUUGUUGUAUUGAAAUUGUUGUUGAGGUUAGAUUAUAUUGAAUUGGUAGGUAAAUAUAUAAUAAUAAUUGUUUUAUGACGAGUCUUGUGAGACAAGUGAUAUGUGAUUGUCCUUGGGAAUAUUAAUCGGAUAAACGAAUAAAUCUAAUGGUUCAUUUUAUUAUGGAAUUUAAUACUUACUGAGGUACAGCUCACCUCUGCAUAUAUUUUUUUAUGCAAAUAAGUUAGAAGCUAGACUAGCUGCAUCAGAGGAUUUUUUGGACAUCGGGGAUCAACGUGAAAGACUUGUAGCUAGACCUAUAUAUACAAUAGGCAUCAAGCUAUGUAUAAAAUGCUUGUGGAUAGUUGCGACCUGAAAAAUUUUGUUUAACUAUUCAUGGGUGGUUGUGAAAAAUAUGCUAGAAGUUCCUUUGGAGAUGUGAUAUAUACGUUUCUUUGAUAUAAAUAUGAAGUGGUUGGCUGGGAUAGAUGUAGUUGGGAUUUUAUGAAAUUGUUUAAGAGGUUUAAAUUUGGAAAAUGAAUAUCGUGAUACUUUAAAGGAAAUUCUAUAGGAUUUUUGGAUCGUGAGAGUAUCCAAGUAGAACAUUAAUCUGGAUGGACCAAUUUAUGUCCGUCUACUCGAAUCACCUUCUCGGGUGAUAGUACUUCGGUGUUCCAGAGCAAAUAUUUCAAGAAAUUGAUAUUUGGGGGCGCCAGCAGGCAGCGGCCAUUUUCAGAACUUCGGAAGUUCUUCAUGCCCUCGUAAUGGCUUUGAUACCACGCAUAACAAACGAAUUUGGUGAAUAGUUUCUUUUUGUUGUUUUUGGUCAAUGACAAUUGGAUAUUCUGAAGUUCAAUGAGAUAUGAUUAAUUUAAGUUUGAAUCGUGUCGCCCUACUAAAAGGUAAAUUUAUCAUAAUCAUGAAUAUUCCCUAUUCAUUAUAUUUAAAAUCGAGACCUAAUUAAUAAACGUCGAAUCAUUUGAAUCAAUCUACGUUAUUAUUUAGUUUUUCCGUAAUAUCAAUUGGUUGGCUGCCCUCUUCCUUAUAUACAAGACUCAAUAGUAAGGAAACCAAAUAUAGCAAUUAUUAAUCUCUUUAUUCCUAAUAGUUAGAGAAAGUCUUAUAUGUAACGGGAUAUAACACGUGACAAUAUAGGCAAUUUCAUCCCUGACUUUCGUAAGUUGCAUCAAUUUCGUCCCUGAUUUAUUUUUUUCCUCAAUUUCAUCCCCGACUUUGCACUUUUGCAUCAAUUUAGUCCUUGACUUUGCACUUUUACAUCAAUUUCUUCCCUAACUUUUCAGUUACAUCAAUUUUGUCAUCGAAUUUGCACGGUUACAUCAAUUUAGUCCAUAACUUUGUGCAGUUACAUCAGUUAGUGCUGUAGUUGCAUCAAUUUGGUCAUUGUGUGGGGUGGUUGCAUUGAUCAGGUCGCAAUGCGACAUCAAUUUGGUCAUGCCGUUAAGUAUGAAUGCUAACGGUGUUAAAUUGUGGAAAUUGUUACAUCAAUUUGGUCCUCAUGCUAUAUCAAAUCAGUCCCUGCGUCCCUUCAUCCCUCCUUCACCAUCCUCCUACUGUGAGCCCAUCAAUGGCUUUUGCUUUAAAACGAAAACCUUCCACAGUCUCCGUCUUGAAGUGCCUCUCUCUCCGCCUUCUGAUCAUGAUCCCCUCUCCAUCACCGACUACGCCCUCUCCCUUCUCCGCACCUCCAUCCCCGUCUCCUCCACUUUCAUCAUCGAUGCCUAAACAAUUCGACUAUGUUUCUCACUUCUAUCUGAUUGACUACCGCUCGCUUUUUAGCCUUCUCUCUCGCCCGUGCUCUCCUCUAAGCUCGAAGCCGAUGACUCAGUGUUGGAGCUCAGUCCGAUGGCGCUGCUGAGCUAGUAGCUGCAGCGGUUCCUCCUGACCGGACUCAGCCACGACUCGAGCUCCAAAUCAAGCGCCAGGACAAGCAUAUCGAUCAACAACUAUAAAUCGAGGAGCCUAUGCUACUUUGCCAUUGCCAUCGAUGCUCCCCCUUCCCUGGCGGGGGUGUCGGGGAUUAGGUGGGGGUAUACGAGCCUGCAAGGUCUGCAUGAGGAGAUGGAGGACGAUGUAGUCGUGCAGUUGGACGGACUGGAAGGAUUCACCUUCAUUGCCGUCUUUGAUGGCCACGGUGGUUUCUCUGUCGUCAAUUUCCUAAGGGAUGCGCUGUUUAAAUAAAGAAUGCCUCCUAUCAUUGCAAGGAGGUCUGCUCCUAAGUAAGAAAGACGUUAGUACCAUCAGAGAGGCAUUGCAAGAGGCCUUUGUCAAUGCCGAUUCGAAACUAUUGACUUGGCUCGAGGCAAUCCCAGAGGAAGAUGAAUCAAGUUCAACAGCCAUCGUCAUGUUCUUAGGGAAUGAUUCUCUGAUCAUUUCCCAUGUUGGCGUUCAUGUGUGGUAUAUGUUCUUUCCCGAUUAAGCCUUGGGCCAUUCAACUGGUCGCUGAUGGAUUUUAAGCUUAUAUUGCUUUGAGUGGAGAGAAGUUGAGUGAGAAAUGGAAGCUUGCACAAGGAGAGGAAGAGGAAGAUGAAGACGUAAGAGAGGAAAUUCGUUUGAAGUGAGACUGUGGGACCAAAGAGAAGGGGAGAGAGAAAGAGAGAGAGAGAGAGAGAGAAUGUAGAGGAAGAAGAUGAUAAUUUGGGAUUACAUCAAUUUGUCCAAGUGUUACAUCAGUUCAGUCCUUGAACAAAUUAACGGAGUAGUAACGUCGUUUGCCCCUUUACCACUUGGACUGGAUUGAUGUAAUUAUGAUCAAUUUGAUGUAACGCCAAAACUCAGAGACUUGUGUUGCAAAAGUCAGGGACUAAAUUGAUGUAAUCGUGCAAAGUCGUGGACCAAUUUUAUGUAACUGAA